rnacentral:rRNA from 1 species
GACGAACGCUGGCGGCGUGCUUAACACAUGCAAGUCGAACGAAGUGGCGAACGGGUGAGUAACGCGUAAUCAACCUGCCCUUCAGAGGGGGACAACAGUUGGAAACGACUGCUAAUACCGCAUACUGAAGGAGGGGCUUGCGGCUGAUUAGCUAGUUGGUGGGGGAACGGCCCACCAGGGCGAUGGUCAGUAGCCGGUCUGGGCGGAUGAACGGCCACAUUGGGACUUAGACACGGCCCAGCCUCCUACGGGAGGCAGCAGUGGGGAGUCUUCCGCAAUGGACGAAAGUCUGACGGCGCAACGCCGCGUGAGUGAUGACGGCCUUCGGGUUGUAAAGCUCUGUUAAUCGGGACGCGUUACCGGAAUAGAGAGCCACGGCUAACUACGUGCCAGCAGCCGCGGUAAUAC